AAUAUUAAAUAUUUUUUAUUAGCGGAGAAUAUACCUGGAGAGAAGAAUAUCAAUAAUCAUGGCAAGGAUUAUUUUAAAUUUAAAUUGACGAUCGAUGAGAAAUGUGACCCAAAUAAUUUCGCCAAAUACCGUCUAUACGGCAUGUCGCGUAAGGGAAGUGGGUUACAUCGAUAAAGAUGUAAGCCCAUAAAAAAAAACCGGUCGCCGAAAACGAUCUCCUGGCUUCUGCGAGCAUGUGAUUUAGGACUUAAAAUUCAAAAUGACAUGUAUGGCCCGCAUCACGAUAUAGAGUAUCUCAGGAAUGCUCGUGUGUGUACGAGAGUAUAUAUUGAAGUCGAACGUCGAUGCGCUGAAAUUAAUGACUAUAUAAGGCACACUAGAAUAUUUCGCAUCAAUAUCAUCCUUCAUCCUGAUUUAAUCGUUCCGAUAUAGCCAUAAACCACGGACCAUCAUACCGCGCUCCUCGUUCGAUUGGAAUCCGAUUUUCAAAAUUCCAUUCCAGUCUCUCCUUGCGAAAUCAUCUUUAAAUCGUUCGAGGGAUUCGUAUAUUGAAGGUCAUCUCGUCGAAAGUCUACUACACCUAUUUGCCGAAAGUGAAUAUUCGAGUGAAACGAAUUACUCAUCGUUAGACGAGGACCGGACGUUUUAAGAGAAGGUGAAGUAAAAAAUGCGGCGCGGCCGAUCCGGCGCGAUCGGCGAACUUGUGGCCUCGCCGUGGAAUCAAGAAUUCGCGCCGGCCUCCUCUCGUUACACUUUCUACACAUGGAAUAAAAUAGAAAUACAUAGGCUGGUGGAUUCAAAAGUGGAAAGGAACGAAGAGUAGAAUGAAGAAAUGCAACGAAGAGAGCGAUAUGGCUGAAAACUGAAAGGAAAUAGAACAGACCACGGUUGAGUCCC